AGGCCGUAGGUGACCUGCGGAAGUUUGCAGAAGAACCCGCCUGAGAUGCCCUUUUUGUUCUGGGCCGCACGCGCGCUACACUGAUGAAGUCAUCGAGUUCAUUUCCUUUAUCGGAAGAUAUGGGUAAUCUUUUGAAACUUCAUCGUGCUGGGGAUAGAGCAUUGCAACUAUUGCUCUUGAACGAGGAAUCCCUAGUAAGUACAAGUCACUAGCUUGUGCUGAUUACGUCCCUGCCCUUUGUACACACCGCCCGUCGCUACUACCGAUUGAAUGGCUUAGUGAGGCCUUCGGAUUGAAAUUCGGAGACUGGCAACAGACUCUUGGUUUUGAAAAGUUGGACAAACUUGGUCAUUUAGAGGAAGUAAAAGUC
rnacentral:rRNA from 1 species